CAGCCGCGGUAAUACGUAGGGUCCGAGCGUUGUCCGGAAUUAUUGGGCGUAAAGAGCUCGUAGGCGGUUUGUCGCGUCUGCUGUGAAAACUAGAGGCUCAACCUCUAGCCUGCAGUGGGUACGGGCAGACUUGAGUGGUGUAGGGGAGACUGGAAUUCCUGGUGUAGCGGUGGAAUGCGCAGAUAUCAGGAGGAACACCGAUGGCGAAGGCAGGUCUCUGGGCACUUACUGACGCUGAGGAGCGAAAGCGUGGGGAGCGAACAGGAUUAGAUACCCUGGUAGUCCACGCCGUAAACGUUGGGCGCUAGAUGUGGGGACCUUUCCACGGUUUCCGUGUCGUAGCUAACGCAUUAAGCGCCCCGCCUGGGGAGUACGGCCGCAAGGCUAAAACUCAAAGGAAUUGACGGGGGCCCGCACAAGCGGCGGAGCAUGCGGAUUAAUUCGAUGCAACGCGAAGAACCUUACCAAGGCUUGACAUACACGAGAACGGGCCAGAAAUGGUCAACUCUUUGGACACUCGUGAACAGGUGGUGCAUGGUUGUCGUCAGCUCGUGUCGUGAGAUGUUGGGUUAAGUCCCGCAACGAGCGCAACCCUCGUCGCAUGUUGCCAGCACGUUAUGGUGGGGACUCAUGUGAGACUGCCGGGGUCAACUCGGAGGAAGGUGGGGAUGACGUCAAAUCAUCAUGCCCCUUAUGUCUUGGGCUUCACGCAUGCUACAAUGGCCGGUACAAAGGGCUGCGAUGUCGUAAGGCGGAGCGAAUCCCAAAAAGCCGGUCUCA
rnacentral:rRNA from 1 species